rnacentral:lncRNA from 1 species
GAGACGAGUAUCUGGCGUACUGUAAGUCCGCCUCUGAGUCGUAGUCGACGCUUUGUCGCCAUUUUUGGCCAGUUGCAAGUUACGCAUUUGUGUGUCGAAAUCGAGUACGAGUACGACUGUCGAAUGCUUUGCUGCUUGUUGUGCUCUUUUUUUGUGUCACUGCCCACAGAAUUCCACAGUCGAACACAACAACAAAAAAUCACAACAUUUCAGCAGCACUCGCACUCGAUUCGAUUUGGAUUUCACAUUCACGCUGCGACGAGGAGUUACCAGUUUGUGUCUGUGGGCGUUUAUGUACAAAUGUCUAUGGAAUAUUUAAAUAUCUGUGGCAGUGGCAGAGGCAACAUCAACUUUUAGCUCAACCUCGACUUGCACGAGAUUCGAUUGCAGACUUCAUGGCACAUAUCCAAUACCCAAUGUAAAUGGCUUUCCAAAUAAUGUGCGGAUUUAUAAAUUUUAGAGCAAACUAUACCAAACACACACUUUAGAUAAACACACCAGAUCCCAGAGCCAGCACGGAACCAACACCCCAAAUAAGACACACACGCACUCACAGAUAAACAGAUACACACAGAUGGUACGUAAUGUACAGAGUCAGAGUCUUCUGUGUGCAGAGUGAAAAUGUGGUGGUACGGAAUACCCAAAGAAGUUCGAUAUCAAAUUAAAGCAAGGAAUAAUGUGGAAAAUAUCAUUAACAUCACAUUCAAAUGGGAUUGUUAGACAGUUAACUGAAGGGAAAAACUCUACCGGUAAUGAUUGGGAAUAUUUCUGCGACACCAAGCGAAUCCUGUUACGCUCGGAAUCCGCCAGAGACGGUGCCAUUCUCCAGCCCAACCAACCGAGGGGCGCUGCUGCAUGACGCAGGAACAUGAAUGAAAGAUAGAGGUGGUAGAGCGAAUUAUAAUUCGAGAAGUGAAGGAAUAAAGUUUCUAGGGGGGGGUUGGA